UAUUUUUCCUACAAGGUAUUGCUGGAAUGUCCCUUUAAUUUCUGCAGGAGUCCAGUCCUCCUCCCAGACGCCCCUGGAAACCCCUUCGUUGAGGACCGUCGUCGCGUUCGUCUCCAGGUUUCUCCGAUCUGACAGAAAUAUCAGGAGCACGUCCAUCAUAUAGUUGAAGAACUAUAUAUAGUGAAAAAUACACCUGUGGCGUGUCAGUACAGAGGAAAUCACAAUGUCUCAGCUGCAUUAAGACGCCACAAAUAUUCAACUGGUUGCCACGUUGAUAGAUUUGAUCCAUGAUCGACAUUAAGGGCUGCUUAAUUAUAAGCGUGCACAUCAAAUUAUCCUAACUCAUUGAACCUGGAUCGAAUUAGUGAGAUUGCGUGAACGUGAAUAAAGUCUGUAGAGGCCUUGUGUUUCGUGGUUCUUUGUUUAGGUUCCUUACCGAGCUGUAACUGGGUCAUUCUACAGAAACGUCCACUUUUGUGACGUCAACUAAAAGCUCCAUAUGAAAUCAUCUUUAAAAAAUAGGAAGGAGGAAGUCGUCAUCAGGUUUUUAUUUUUCUCAAAUGGCUAGGGACAGAAAAAUGGACGUUUCUGUAGAAUGACCCAACUGCUGACUGAUCUGGAAAAAACCUUAAGCACCUGAUGGCUUUAGACCGUUUCUACAGUUGUCAGAUUUUAAGUAAAAUAUCACUGCAAAUGCAUAAAGUCAGAGACGAGCGCUCAUGCGUCACAUGAAAGUCUUUGCUGCCCUCUGGUGCACAACGUGAGGCCCUGACCGUAGGAUGAGCUGGGGGCAUCAACCGUCAGACCCCCCUGUGGCUCUGGUGGCAGCACACCUCUCUCCUGGAGCCUCAUGACAUACCUGCCGACAUGCAUUGGUGGGAGAAGUGAAGCCUUUGCACAUCGGCUGUUGGGUUGCUAAGAGGGACACCUGAAGCCCCGAGGAAGAACCGGUCCUUGUCGUCUCUAUCUGGAGCUUGGGCCUUUAAAUAUUCUGGCCGGAUAUGAACAAACUCCUUUGGACAGCGUUACAGUGACUCCGUCUGCCUCUGGCACUCUGUCGUUCCACUCCUAGAAAAAGAGGCCUGAUGACUCCAGUCCUCCCAGACGUCCCUGGAAUCCCCCACGUCCAUCAUAUAGUUGAAGAAGGCCUGCUGCCUUUCAGUCAGCCUCUCUCUGGCAUCGGAUCUCUCUGGCCAGAAUGGCUCCAGGAUCUCGUCCAGGGGUGCGUUUCCCAAAACCAUAGUUGCUAACAGGUUGCAAUGCAAUUUCCCUAUUGCCAGCCAACUAAGUUGUUAACUUGGUUAGCAACUAUGGUUUUGGGAAACGUACCCCAGCUCGUUAUAACUGCGUAUCGUUAGGGUGUGCUUCUAAAUGCUGCAACGCUUUUUAUGUGAAAACUACAUAAUAAACACUAUAAAAAAAACAUCAA